rnacentral:rRNA from 1 species
AAUUUUGGACAAUGGGGGAAACCCUGAUCCAGCCAUCCCGCGUGUAUGAUGAAGGCCUUCGGGUUGUAAAGUACUUUUGGCAGAGAAGAAAAGGUAUCUCCUAAUACGAGAUACUGCUGACGGUAUCUGCAGAAUAAGCACCGGCUAACUACGUGCCAGCAGCCGCGGUAAUACGUAGGGUGCAAGCGUUAAUCGGAAUUACUGGGCGUAAAGGGGGUGGAGGGGGUUCGGAAAGAAAGAUGUGAAAACCCAGGGGUCAACCUUAGAACUGCAUUUUUAAAUGCCGGGCUAGGGUAAGUCAGAGGGGGGUAGAAUUCCACGUGUAGCAGUGAAAUGCGUAAAUAUGUGGAGGAAUACCGAUGGCGAAGGCAGCCCCCUGGGAUAAUACUGACGCUCAGACACGAAAGCGUGGGGAGCAAACA